AAGAUUAAUUUACUUCAUAGGAUCAUUUCUAUAGUAAGCUCUUCGCUAGACCUUCACACUAUGUGAAAAAGAACUCUACCUAACUAAAUAGA